AGCCUCUGAGUGUGAGUUCUACUUUUACUGCUCUGGUUUGGAAAAGAUAUGCUUGAAACAUAUUAACUUUAAAUAAUGGGAUCACUUCCAGUGUUUAAUUCUCUUUUGGUAUGGAACUAUAGCUUGUGGAGGAUAAGAUGAGCACCAUACUGUGGGUGGAGGGUGAAGACAGUGUAAGGAGCAUGGACAUAGGUAGGAGAAAGCUCAAAGGAGAAUCUCUGUAGAAUCAAUGCCAUUGCCAUCUUUGCCUCUAAUAAGGCAAAAUUUUGGCCAAUACAGAUCCUUGGUCCCCAAGCAAAGGGAAAGAAGGAGACUUGGCUCUUUGUUGCCUUUGAGACACCAUCUUCGAAUCUCUCGGGCUUGAACUCUGCUGCAUCGUUCCCCCAUAGCUGGGUAUCGCGUUGGACUAGCAUAAUAGGUAGAUUGAUCUGAACACCACCUGGUAGUGUCAGGUCUCCUAGCUUCAUCUCUUUGUGAAUCGUUCGGGUCAGAAGAGUUACUGGAGGAUAUAGCCUAAUGACCUCAUUAAUUAUCAUUGUCAUCUGAAAGAGAUCAAAACAUUCAGCAAAAAAAAACAUGAAAACACAACCAGAGGAUAGUUACUUGAAGGUUUUGGUUUAGACUUACAAUUUUGAGAUGGUUAAGGCCUUCUGUAUCGGGUUCUUUAUCACCAAAAACUUGCUUCACUUCUUCUCGUGCACGAGCCUGCCAGUCUUGGUGCUGGCUUAGCAGAAUCAUUGUCCAAACUAGAAGUACUGAAGUUGUCUCUUGCCCGGCAAAGUAGAACAACUUGCACUCCUCUAUCACAUCGUCAAUGCUCAUUCCAUUUCCUUUAGCUUGUCCUAAAUUUGAUUCAAGAAGUAUACCUAACAAAUCUUCGUUUGGUGCUUCUCCAGCCUCUCUUGCCCUUAGCCUUUUGUUAACGAGCCCUCUUAGUAUAUCAUGGGUUUCUUUGGCUGCUGCUUUUAUCCUUCUAUUGUCCUUUGUUGGGAGAUAUCUUCACGAAAAAGGACAACAUUAGUCAUGUUUCCUAAAAGAAUUUCACUGGUUCUAAGUCCAAGAUUCAAACCAGGAGAGUGAGGUUUUCAUUACCUAUAUCCAGGGAUGUAAGAUUUUCGAAAAGCUUGUAUAAUGAGCUGUGCUAGUUCUGUUUGGAGCUCAAAGAUCCUCUGUCCUUCUUUGUAGCUGCUUCCAAAAGCAGUACGAGAGAUCACAUCUUCUGUUAUACUCAUGAGCCCAGGCCAAACGUCCACCUCACAGGAUGACCCUUUGUCCGAAACCAUCUUGUCCCAUUUGUCAACAACCUCGUUGCAGCUCUGGUGGAACACAGGUACCAUAUUCUAUUCAUAGAAACAGAAGUCAGGUUUUGAGUCAGAUACAAUACAUAAAACGUAACUCCAGACUUGAAAAAAUAAAGCCAAACCUUGAUCUUCUCAAGGUGGAAAGCAGGGUUGAUGAUUCUUCUGUGUUUUGCCCAUUUAUCACCAUCAUAACUAAAGAGUCCACUGAUUAUAAGGUUGGUCAAAGGAAAUGUAUGCGGCUUUGGGAAAUCAUAAACUUUAUUGAACACUUCCUUGAUUUGCUCAGGAUCCGUAAUGGUUAUGGAUGGUAUAGUUCCUCGCCAUGUAAAGAAAGUCCUUCCUGUUCCAGACACAGAGAUACAAAACCUGACACCUUUAGAGUAGACCAGGUACUCUCCGGACCCAGUCCCUUGUCCCCCAGACCCCAAUUUUAAUAUAUUUAUGUUUUUAUACCAAAUUUACUAAAGCACUUUUUAUAUUCUUUUAUUAGAAGAAAAUUAAGUAAAGCACUCUUUGGUCAAAAUUUGGUAAAGCACUUGAAAAUUUAGUAAAGCACUUGAAAAUUUAAAAUUUAAGGAUUAAAUUUUAUUCUUUUUCUCUAGAAUCCCAAAAAAUGUUGAACAGGCCCUCGUACUUUGCAACAAUAGUUUUUGACAAGUUUAUGAAUCGAUGAAUGUUAACCUCUCUAUUAAUGUGGCCGCAGCCAAGUAUUUAUACAACCAUCAUAAGAUCUCCUAAACCUAGUAUCAAUAAUGUUAAUAACUAGAAUAGGAAAUAUAGAUAUACACAAAUCUAUGUAGUAUCUCCCGUAAUACCCCCCCUCAAGGUGGAGCAUGUAAGUUACGAAUGCCCAGCUUGGACAAGAAAAUGUCGAACUCUUUGCGUCCCAAUGCUUUCGUAAAGAUGUCCGCUAACUGCUCUUUAGUGGAAACAUAUGAUGGUUUUAGAACACCCUUGACAAUUUCAUCUCGUAUGAAAUGACACUCAAUCUCUAUAUUCUUAGUCCUUUCAUGAAACACCGGAUUUGAACUAAUAUGAAUUGCUGGUUGACUAUCACAAAACAGUGUCAUCGGUUCCUUGUGAUUCACUCCAAGUUCCCGAAGUAAAGACUUUAAUCCUAACAACUCCUUGGUGAUGGCUCCCAUAGCACGGUAUUCGGCCUCUGCCGAUGAGCAAGACACAGUGUCUUGUUUCUUGCUUUUCCACGCGAUGGGAGAGGUUCCGAGCUGAACUAUCCAACCAGACAGAGAGCGCCGAGUAGUGUGACAUCCUCCCCAAUCAGAAUCACACCAGCCAGUCAAGUGGAGAGAUGACUUCGCAUCCAGAAAAAUACCUUGACCUAAAGUUCCCUUCAAGUAUCGUACCACCUUCAAUGCAGCAGUCCAAUGAUCUUCUUUAGGAUCUUGCAUAAAUUGUGAAAGAAUGUGUACAGCAUACGUUAAGUCUGGUCUUGUCGCAGCAAGAUAAAUAAACCGGCCAACAAGUCUCCGAUACCGUUCUGGCUCAGAAAUUGUAGGACCAUCAGCUCGACUAAGUUGAUGAUUUUGAUCCAUAGGGGCUCCAGCCGGUUUACAACCAAGCAAUCCGACUUCAGUGACAAUAUCAGUAGCGUACUUACGCUGACAUAAGUAGAAACCAGACGGGCUUCGAGCAACCUCUAUACCCAAAAAAUAUUUGAGAAGACCAAGAUCCUUCAUGUGAAAGCAAGUGGAGAGAUAGUCUUUUAUGAGUUUGAUAUCCUUCGGAGUACUUCCUGAUAUAAUCAGGUCAUCCACAUAAGCCAAGAUGCGAAUGGACACUCCUUGCUUGACGUAAACAAACAAGGAAUAAUCAGACUUGGUUUGAGUAAACCCAUACUUGAGAAGAGCAUCUGUUAACUUGGCAAACCAACAACGAGGCGCCUGCUUCAAGCCAUAUAAAGAUUUGCGAAGUCUACAUACCAGAUUCUUAUCUGUAGAAGAAAAACCUUGAGGAAUUUUCAUGUAUACUUCCUCGUGAAGAUCCCCAUGAAGAAACGCAUUGUGAACAUCCAUCUGAUGAACCUCAUGACCCAACUUACACGCAUAAUCCAGAAAUACUCUCACCGUAGUCAUCUUCGCAACCGGUGAAAAUGUGUCUGUAUAGUCAACUCCAUGUUUCUGGCGAUUACCACAGACAACUAAUCUCGACUUUGGUCGUUCAAUACUGCCGUCCGAUCGAUACUUAAUUGUAUAAAUCCAUUUGUUAUCAAGUGGUUUCUUACCAGGUGGCAAUGGCACCACAUCCCACGUAUGCUGGCUCUCCAAAGCUGUAACUUCAGUACCCAUAGAAUCCUUCCAUAUCUUGUCAAGAAUUGCUUCUUUAAACGAUUUAGGAAUAUGAUGAGAUGAUAUCGCCACCAGGAAGCUGCGAUGUUGGUCAGAAAAUUUAUGACUAGAGAGAUAAUCAGAGAUAGGAUAGACCGAACCUGAAGACGACUGAGGAGAUGGUGAAGUAGUGGAGAGAGAGAGAGAAGAGUCAAGAGUAACCGUAUUAACGACGAAGUCUCGCAAUCGAGUGGAAGGAAUUUUUGGACGAUGUCCUCUUCCUAAAACCUCAUCAACCUCAGUAGCCGGUGUAUUUAUUUCAACCGUCGGAGGAAUCUCCUCGGGAACCUCCGCAGGAGCCAUCGGUAUAUUCUCAGCUGCAGGUGCAGUAUCCAGUACACCUUCCUCUGUUUCAGGUUGCACAUCGUCGGAUGUACCACUAUCAGAGUCAGUGUCAUCGAGAGUAGCCUCUUGUAGUUCAGACACUGGCUCAUGAUUGUCAGAUUUAUCAGAAGAAGCAGCCAAUGGGAAGAUAUCUUCACAGAAAACAACGUCCCGCGACGUAAAUAUACUCUGCGUUUCUGAAUCAAGCAGUAACCAGCCUUUCUUUCCUGCUGGAUAUCCAAGAAAUAUACACUUUCGACUCCUUGCCGCAAAUUUAUCUCCUUUGUGAUUAAUGUUAUGAGCAUAGGCAAGACACCCAAAGACCCGAAGAUGAUUAAAUGAUGGAGUUCUCCCAUACAGCUUUUCAAAAGGAGUCUUACCAUCAAGAAGUUGAGAAGGAGUCCGGUUCAUGAGAUAGACUGCAGUCUUCACACACUCGCCCCAAUAUUCAAUAGAAAGAUGGGCUUGAAAUCGCAAGGCUCGAGCAAUAUUAAGUAUGUGUCUGUGUUUACGCUCUACUCGACCAUUUUGUUGUGGUGUGUACACACAAGAAGUCUCAUGAUGAAUUCCAUUCUCUUGAAAAAAUCGAGACAUACACACAAAUUCUGUUCCAUUAUCACUUCGAAUUGUCUUGACUUUCUUUGAGAACUGUGUGUUGACCAAAGCUAUAAAAUCCAUGAGAUGCCGUGAGACUGACGUCUUAUCUUGCAAAAGAUAGACCCAGACAGCUCUAGAGUGAUCAUCAAGAAUAGUUAAGAAGUAUCUUGUGCCACACAAAGCCGUUGUACGAUACGGACCCCAUAAGUCGCAAUGAAUUAAAUCAAAUAUUGCAUUAGAAUAAGUUGAACUUUCAGAAAAACAUUGGCGAGUUUGUUUAGCUCUGAAGCAGACAUCACAGUUUUUAAAAGAAUCCUUAUGACUACUAACACCAGGAAGCAAACCAACAAUACGAGAAGAUGGAUGGCCUAAACGACGAUGCCACAAGAUGGAGUCUUCACCAACACUUGUAUGCGACGACAGGAUUGGCGCAGCACAGCAGAGCCGGUAAAGUCCCUCUCUCUCUCUUUCACCCAUCCCAAUCAGCGUCUUCGUAUUGCGGUCCUGUAAUAUCAAGAGUUUGUCAGUAAUCUGCCCGAUCAAACCAUUGUCAGUAACCAGUUGACCAAAAGAUAUUAAGUUUGUGUCAAAUCCAUCAACAAGAAAAACAUUCUGAAGUAUCAGAUGUGGAUUUAACCGAAUGGUUCCUUGUUUAGAAGCAAGUGAGUUUGUUCCUGUAGGCAACCGUACAGACACUGGAAGUAUAGAACGAAUGUCCUCUAGACACUCAGCCAGUCCAGUCAUAUGGUGCGUAGCACCAGUGUCCAGUAUCCAUUCGUUGCAGUUAGGCUUACCCGUCAAGGAGUCUUGUUUAGAUGUGCUUCCCACCAUACGUUGAAUGAUCUUCCAUUGGUCAUCAGAGAUACCAGACAAGCCUUGUCUGUCAGCUUCUGUUAAGGUCACCGGAGUAACAGCAGCGGCAUUUACUCCUAUGAUCUGCGUGCUGUUUACACGAGGCAUGGAUCCACGACCACGUCCUGAGCCACCACGUCCACCACGACCUGAAGUUCCAUACCACUCAGGAUAUCCAACAACCUUGAAGCAGGCACUUGCCUCAUGACCCAUCUUGCCACAAACUAAGCACUUCCUGGAAGGAUCUUUAUUAACUGGUCGAAAAGUCUGAUCACGAUUAUAAGUUGGUGUCGUGACUUGUGAAGCAAAGCUCAUAGCCGGAGUCUCUUGUGUGACAUUUGAGCGGAUGGUCUCAUUCUGAACAAUAGUUUGAUACACACUAUCAAGGUCUGGAAGUGGUGUGAUCGCACAUAUUUGAGAACGGAUAACGCCGUGAGCCGAGUCAUCCAGUCCCGAGAGAAAAUCAUGAACCCGUAGAGUUUCACGGUCUGAUUCGUGAGCUGUGUUUAGAUCACACUCACACUUUCCACAGGUACACUUCUUAGAGUUCAUACUCUCACGAAUUCCAUCCCAUAUUUUCGUGAGCCUGCCAAAGUAGUCAUCAACUGACGUUCCAUUCUGUUUGCAAGUUGCUAGGGAAUUGCGAAGUUGUUGCAGCCGUGCGCCGCUCUUCACAGAAAAUCUCUUCUUGAUUAUCUCCCACAGCUCCUGUGCUACCUCUCGAGUAGAUAUAGAACUCCGUAGCUUUGGCUCAAUGGUCUUGUUGAUCCAUCCGACCAAGAGGUGAUUAUUCGCUAUCCAAUCUUCAAGGUUAGAGGAGUCUGCUGGAGGUUUCGGAAUGCUUCCAUCAAUGAAGCCAAAUUUCUUGCGUGAACUUAAGGCCAUACGCAAGUUAAUAGCCCAUUCAUCAUAAUUCGUACCGUUAAGUAACGGGGAUGAAAUAACUGCACCAGGGUUGUCACCGGAGGUGAGGUCAUACGGUGAGAUAGUACGCCUCUUAGGUGUGCUCCCAAUGUCUGUCAUCUUGUUCGAUUGAUAGUAACUUGGAAGAGAAGAAAAAUUUGAGAUGUGAGGUUCUUGUAGAUAAGCGGCUCUGUUUUCGUGAAUGAAAACCGAGGCAGCUCGAAAUCAAUAAACUGUAAGGAAUUGGAUCAAUGCUCUGAUACCAUGACAAGUUUAUGAAUCGAUGAAUGUUAACCUCUCUAUUAAUGUGGCCGCAGCCAAGUAUUUAUACAACCAUCAUAAGAUCUCCUAAACCUAGUAUCAAUAAUGUUAAUAACUAGAAUAGGAAAUAUAGAUAUACACAAAUCUAUGUAGUAUCUCCCGUAAUAGUUUUCUUGUUUUCGGUAUCUCUAUUAAGUUCUUAAUAGAUAGGAAUCAAGAAACAUACCGUAAGUCUUGAGCAUGUGCGAGGGGAAAGGCAAUACACGUGAGAUGAUAUCAUCCGUAAGUUUGAUGGGUUUGGACCUUGCCUCCUUUGACAUGCUAUUGUCCCUUCUCAUGUCUCCAACAAGUGGCGUAUAAGGAGUACCGGCAAUACCCUGUCUUCUCAGGUAACUUUCAAGCAUCUUUGGUUUAAACCAAACCCACUUUAGAGUUCUCCAUAUCCACAACAACACAACAGAUAUAGCUACUGAAACUAUUACAGACUCAGCUGAUGUUUGCAUAUUCGUUUCCAGAAAAGAAAGAGAAAGAGAGAGAUAUGGACUAACCCGCUGAUAUUCUCAACCAUAUAUAGAUUGAAAAAUUCCAUGUUGGUGAUGACAUCACCACUUAUGUCAUUCACACUUUAUCCUACGAAGCUACAAGAAGCAAAUUUAGAUUUGUGUGGGGGAAAAAGGCACGACCGUCAACAUUUUCACAUUUCUUUAUCACUACAGCUACGGAAAACAUUUUCCUGGUACAAGUGAAUGUAUUAUAUUAAACGUGUUAGACUUGCCCACUGAUUAAUUUUGUUUGAAAAGUGAACGUUAAUUAAAAGUCAACUAGGAUAAGACCCGCGCCUUGCACGGGAUUAAGUUAUUAUUUUUAUUAUAUUUUGGAGAAUGAAACAAUAGUUUGGCUUCAUUUGAAUUACGGGUGUUCAAUCCGGAUAUCGGGUUGGUAUCGGUUCGGUUCGGUUUUUUUCGGUUUUUGGUUAGUAAAAUAUAACUACUAUUCUAAAUCCAUAUUUACUUUGACUUUAAUCUUUCACAUACUUUUGAAAGAUUUCAACUGGACGACUAAAUUGAUCAGCCAAUCUUGUUGCUUUAAAUCAUUAGUGUUUAUAUAUAUAUAUAUUAUUUAGUUUGAAUAUUUAUUAAAUAAAAAUUCAUAUGCGUUAUAUUUUAUGAUCAUUUGUAACUUAUUAUAACAAAAAAAUAAUCUAUUGAUCACAAAAUUUUUAGAGUGGGAAUAUUCAAAUUUCUAAUAAUAUAUAGACGUAUUGAAAAAUUCAAAUAUAACAUAUAAGAAAAAAUAUAAAUGUUUUUAUUAUAUAUUUAAUGUGAUUUUUUAAUAUCUUUCAAUAAUAUAAAAUUAAAAAAAAAGAACUAAGAUACCAAAAUUGUUAUCAAAUAUUUAUUAUUCAUAAUAAUUAAUUUUCAUAUAUACGUUAAUCAUAUUAGGUAAUUUCGUAGCUUCUAAUUAAGGAAAGUGCAAAAAAAAUUUUGGUAGAUUAUUUAUCAAUUCGAUAGUUAGUUUAUAAAAAAUAUAAUGUAAGUCAAGAUGGACCAACCUAUUUUUCUAAGAAUAGUAUAUUUUAUAUAGUCAUUUAUUAAAUGAGAAUUUAUAAUCAUACAGUUCUAUGAUCAUUCAUAUCAUUUUAUAACUGAAUAUUUAAAUCAUCGAUAACAAAAUUUUCAAUGUGAAAUCUUUAGUAAGUUUAUAAUUUAUAAAUGUUUUUGAAAAUUCAUUGAAAGUUUUAAUAUUAAAAUAUUUAUGUAAUCUUAUGGUAUAUAGUAUAAUCUAUAUAUAUAUAUAUGUUUUAUUAUUAAAUGAUAUUUUUUACUCAUAUGGUUUUAAAAUAAUGUGUAUCUUCUUAUAAUAUUAAAUAAAAGUUCAUAUUAAUACAAUUUUAUGAUCAUUUGUAACUUAUUAUGACAAAAAAAAAAUCUAUUGAUCACAAAAUUUUCAGAGUGGGGAUCUUCAAAUUUCUAAUAAUUUAUAGACGUUUUGAAAAAUUCAAAAUAUAACAUAUAAGAAAAAUUAUAAAUGUUUUUAUUAUACAUUUAAUGUGAUUUUUAAAUAUAUUUUAAUAAUAUAAAAUUAAAAAAAGAACUAAGAUACAAAAAUUGUUAUCAAAUAUUUAUUAUUCAUUAUAAUUAAUUUUCACAUAUACGUUAAUCAUAUUAGGUAAUUUCGUAGCUUUUAUUUAAGGAAAGUGCAAAACAUUUUUUGGUACGUUAUUUAUCAAUUCGAUAGUUAGUUUAGUAAAAAGUGUAAUGUAAGUUAAGAUGGACCAACCUAUUUUUCUAGGAAUAGUAUAUUUUGUAUAGUUAUUUAUUAAAUAAGAAUUUAUAAUCAUACGGUUCUAUGAUCGUUCAUAUCGUUUUAUAACAAAAUAUUUAAAUCAUCGAUAACAAAAUUUUCAAUCUGAAAUCUUUAAUAAGUUUAUAAUUUAUAAAUUUUCUUGAAAAUUCAUUGAAAGUUUUAAUAUUAAAAUAUUUAUGUAAUCUUAUGGUAUAUAGUGUUUAAUAUACAUAUAUAUUUAUUUUAUUAUUAAAUGAUAUUUUUUACUCAUAUGGUUUUAAAAUCAUGUGUAUCUUCUUAUAAUAAAAAUGUUAAACCAUUGAUCAUUAAUUUUUAACAUAAUAAUUUUAAUAGUUUUAGUCAUUUAUUGUCGUUUUUAAUUAUUCAUAAUAUAACAUAUACGAAAAAAUCUAAAUUUUAUUUUUAUAGCUAAUUUGAUUGUUUAAUUUAUUUUAAUAAUAUAAAAUUAAACAAAAAAUGAUGGAGGAGAUAUACAUUGUUAUCAAAUCUUUAUUAUUAAACUCAUUAAUUGUCAUAUAUAUAUUAGUCAUUUAUGGUAAUUCCGUAGGUUUUAUUUAAGGAAAGAAAAUAUCAUAUCAUAUCAUUAUAUCAUAUAGUUUGACCAAUAUAUGUAUCUAACAACAUAUAAAAAUCAAAUGUGGACCUACUUAUUUUUCAAUUGAAUGUAAUUGACUACCUAAUUGAGUGCCACAUAUGCAUUGGGGCCUCUUUUAAUUAAUACAAAAUUGAGGUUACAUCUUUUCAAAUGUUCCUCAAUUAAUAUAUAAGUGAUUGGUCACAUGAAGUUGUUACAUAAUCAAAAUGUUAUCUUCUAAACUCAAAGAAUAAAUUUAAUUAAUAGACCUUUAAUACUGUUUCGCUGGGACCAAACUUAAUAAAACAUUGGCUUAAUAAAACAAAAUUUAAUACAAUUAUACUCUUCAAAUAACUAAUAUUUAGAUCCUUUUGUAUAUGUAAAUGUAUAAGUGUGUUUAUACAAAUAUUUAUACUGUUUAUUAGACAUAAUUGUUUAAAAUUUUAUAUAUAUAUAUAUUGUUCCAUGUGUAUACUACUACACUGUUAUGAAUAUAUUAUAAUUUUUAGAUAUCUUUCUAUUUGAAUGACAAAAAAGAUUACUCCAUAUGCAUAGUGUCUAAGUUUGCUUUGUAUUUUAUACCUAAAAAAUAUGUAUUUUGGUUAAUGUUACUAUUUUGCUUCAUUUUACUAUAAUAGUUAAGUAAAUUGUCAAAUGUUAAUAUGUAUUUUUGUAGUUUAACUUAAAUAUGUACUAGUAAUUUCGUUUCAUUUUGAAAUAUAUAUUUUGUAAAUAUAGGUCUCUUAUUUUAUAUAUUGUGAAUGUUUUUAGAUAUUGUUAUUUUGAUUACUUUAACUAUUUUAAUAUUAAUUUACCAUUUUAUUUUUCUAUAAACUGUAUUUUGGAAUAGUUGCAAAAGUCACAUGAAAAUUGACGGAAAAUUUUCUUACAUUCCAGCACCCAGAUGAAAGCUUCAAGUUUGGCGUGUAAAGGUGAUAGACUUUGUUUUGCGUUUUUUGUCUCCAUCAGUCCCUCAAAAUCUUCAACUGUAAUGUACCAUCCUUGUCCAGAGAAAACAUUCUUAUCAUUCCUAGAUCGAUCUAUAAAACAUUCCUUCUCUGAGGUGUGUACUAUGUGUUUUCUCCUCUCUAGGUUGUGUGAGUUGGAGUUGAGAAUCAUUAUGCUUCGUUGCCAUGUGUGCUUCAUUCCAUAGCAUUACUUAUUUUCUCUACCAAUUGUAAAGUAUAUGUUUAACCUUUUCAAUAUCUUGAUCUGGUCAAAUGCAGCAUAACAAGCCUGUUAAAUCUCUUUAGUCUCGUAAUUUUGUGUUAUCUCUUAAUAAUAACAAAAAGGUGUGGUAAUUAAUGCUCUCUCUCUCUUCUAAAGCCCCUCUUAUGCUCAUAUACUUUUCCGUAUAAAACCAAGGUUUCUGAUCAAGUAUGAACCACCUUGUGUCUCCUUUGAAAUGAAGAAACUUUUAUGGAGUCUGACUCUGUUUGGUGUCAUCUUAAUCCUCCCUGUUAAUGGGGAGAAGUUCAAAGAUUUUAAUGGGACAAAUGUGUAUCAGACCGAAAAUAAUGUCAAUUCCAAAGCAAAGGUUACAAUGGUUGGACUCACUCUCAUUAAAAAUGCUGCUCUGAGAUCAGCAGGUAACAUCUUCUAUAACACGAUCUGAUUCAUUGAACCAUAUCCUUUGAUAAUAUGUUUAUUAUUACUCACUUUUUCGAACAUUGAUUCAUUAUAUCAUUCGAUUAGCGCUUUUUUAUUAUUGCAGUGUGUCUAGAUGGAAGUCCUGCCGGUUAUCAUUUUCAUCCCGGGUCUGGUUCAGGAGCAAAGAAUUGGCUCGUUCAUUUGGAGGUUUGUUGCAUCACAAAGAUAAGUCUCUCCUAAUAAGUGUUAAUAAUAUUAGUCGUACAUGAUUUCAUUUGAUGUUUUGAUAGGGAGGCGGAUGGUGUAGUGACACUGAAAGUUGUGAAUACAGCAAAAGAACUAGUCACGGAUCGUCCAAGCAUAUGGAGAAAAAGAUACCUUUUACAGGAAUUCUAAGUGACAAAGCCUCCGAAAAUCCAGGUUAGUGUUGAAAUCACUAUGUGUGAUGAUGUCUAUUUCUGUUUAGGUUGCUAAUACAAAUUAAAUGUUUGUUUGCAGACUUUUAUAACUGGAACAGAGUAAAAGUUAGGUACUGUGACGGUGGAUCCUUUAUGGGAGACAAUGAAAAUAAGGUUAGCCAAGUCUAAAACAUAAGUUUGAGAGGAUUACUGUUUGUGUACUAUGAUUGCUAUAUGUUACUUUUUCUACGUAUUAGGAUGCAAAACUUCAGUUUAGAGGAAAGCGAAUAUGGACUUCUGUUAUGUCAGAUUUGCUGUCGAAUGGAAUGGAACAUGCAAAGCAGGUAAACCAUAGUUGUUGUUUUCGUGUAUGCAUAUGUCGUAUAAUAUCGACUUUAUAUAUGUCACAUUAGGGUCUGCUCUCUGGAUGUUCUGCCGGAGGCCUUGCAGCAAUAUUCCAAUGUGAAGACUUUAAGAGUUCACUCAUGUCUUCCACCAGGGUAAAAUGUCUGAGUGAUGCUGGCUUUUUCGUUGAUGCGUGAGUGAUUUUCUAGCCAACUUCUUUUAAUAAAACUUUGGUAUCUAUAUAUAUAUAUAUAUAUAUUGAAUUGUUUUGUAAUUUAUGUAACUGAAGCACUGAUGUCUCUGGAGAUCGAUCUCUGAGACAGUUAUACACCGACGUAAUAGAAUUUCAGGUACGAGCACAUAAGAUUUGCAAUGUGUUACAUUUCUCGAGUAUAUACUAAUAUGACAAUUGUGUAAUGUUUCUACAGAGUAUUACAAACAAUCUCCCUAAUGACUGUUUAAAUCGUCUUAAUCCAACUUCGGUAUAUGUUUUCAUCUUACAUCUUCUAUUCUAUCUUUAUAGUAAAAAACCAAAUGAACUAGAUCUCAUAAGAAAGUGUACUCAAUGCUUCAAUAUUUACAGUGUUUUUUCCCACAAAACCUAAUAAACCAAGUCAAGACUCCAUUGUUUAUUCUAAAUGCUGCAUACGAUUCUUGGCAGGUUAGUUUAUCAUCUUCUUUAAUCCUCAGCUCUAUCUACAAACGUCAAAAUGUAUCUUUUGAUACAAUGUAUUCCUGCAGAUCCAAGAGAGUUUAACUUCUAAAUCUGCAGAUCCAACUGGAAGUUGGGCUGACUGUACAUUUAACCUCGCCAAGUGCAAUGAAUCCCAGAUCAUGUUCUUUCAAGGUGAAAAAUGAGCCAAUAAUGUUAUGGCUUUUUAAUAAAACCAACUGAGCUAGUGCUUUCGAAAUAUGUAAUACAGAGUUCAGGAUUCAUAUGGUGAAUUUGCUCGGUGGAUUCAAAGAGCAGCGUAAGAAUGGAGUGUUUCUUAACUCGUGCUUUUCUCAUUGUCAAACAGAGAGCCAUGACACAUGGUAUUCCAAAAACUCUCCUUCGGUUAAGAACAAGGUAGGCAAUACUAUUGGUUUUUACUACAGAUCAUGAUUCGUGAACUAUACAAUAUAAUCCGCCAAACAAUCCACUGAAAAGAUGGGAAAACAUCCAAACUAACACUUUAGCAGCCAUUCUUUUUGAACUUUUGUUUUGAUCUUAUUUUUUGACUGACAUCAAAUACAAAUUUCCAUGCUAAAUUUAAUCAUGUUAUUUCCAUUAUACUAUUUGUGAUAUUUUGGUAUGAUUUAAGCCCAAUUAUUAAUGAUGUUUGUUCCAUAUACUGAAACAGAGGAUUGCAGUUGCUGUGGGAGAUUGGUUUUUCGAAAGAGGAGGAGCAAAAAUCAUAGACUGUGCUUAUCCUUGUGACAAGACUUGCCGCAAUUUAAUUUAAAGGAUAAAUUUGUUUUGUGUUUCUAUUUUUUUGGGCAUCCAAAUCCUUCUUUCAUUCUCCUAACAGCCAAAAACUUUAAUAAAGUAGAAUACCUAAAACGAUUUACCUAACCAAAUUGGUAGUGUCAAAAUUAGUCCGAACCCUUUUUUUUUUAGUAUGAACUAUUGCUAUUAGAAAACUUCGAACAAUACGUGCCAAUAAUUUUUUUAGUAUGAACUAUUGGUGCAUAUCAUCUUCUGCACUAGGUCAGAAUUUUUUUGUUUUUUGUUUUUACUAAAUUUGAAGGUCAUAAUUAUGGCAAAAAUCACAUUACAUUUUUCAGAGUAUUAUUACCUAAAAGCUAAGCUUUAACCUCUACGUGCAGGGAAGAGAGGUAGAAAUACUUUUAGUUGGGGGCACAAUGUUAAAAAUAACAAAACAAAUUCUGAGUCAGGGGCACUUUAUCUAUUUCUUCACUAAACUAUGAACAAUUCAACCAAAUUAAUUCAGAUUACGUAAGAAAUUUUUAAAAACAGUAGGGGCACGGGUUCCUGUUAAUGUCCGACCGCCCUUGAGAGAAACUACUUCAGAUAUUCCUACCACUCAUCAUUGUAUUUCCCACUCCAUUUGUACUACUAAUUAAACCUUUUCCAGUAAAAAUCUAAUGGUUUCCAGACCCCAUUAACAUUACACCAACCAUUAUAAACCAAAUUACGAUGUUGAACAGACUCUUUUGUAUAUUCAUUUUGUCCCCUCCACUAAUUGAGCAUCUUCCCAAUAAUAUCUUAUAUUCCCACUAGGCCUGGGCGUUCGGGUACCCAUUCGGGUUCGGAUCGGGUUUUUCGGAUUUCGGUUCCAUUUUGUAACACCUCCUAGGUCCCAUUCUAGUAAAUUUACAAGUACGAAUCGGAUUCGGAUAUAACACUUCGGUUUCGGAUCGGUUCGGAUAUGUCCAAAGUAACCAUAUAUCAUUCGGAUUCGGGUUAUAUCGGAUCGGUUCGGGUAUAUCAAAAGUAAAAUCUAAAAUUUAAAAGUAAAACAUAAGAAAUAUAUCCUUCUUUGUAUAUAAUGGAGUAUUUAAAGUGUUUAUUUAAAUUUUUAAUACUUAUUGUUAGAUAUCAUAUCCAAAUAAAUAUGAAAUUGAAUAUUUGAAGUACAUAUUUAUGUUUCAAAUAUUUAUAUUAUAUAUUAAUUUGGACAUUCGGAUCGGUUUCUUCGGAUGUUUUUUCAGGUUUUCGGGGUUUUCGGAUUUUCGGGUUACCCGUUCGGGCUCGGUUAAUAACACUUCGGGUUCGGAUAUGUUUUGUAACACCCUAUAAGAUCCAUUGAGGUAUUUUUUUACAUUUCGGAUCGGGUACGGAUCGGGUGUUUUGGUUCGGAUUCGGUUCGAAUUUCGGGUUUCAGAUUUUAUGCCCAGCCCUAAUUCUCACUAUUUGUAGGAUCUCUUGAUGGAGUAAUCUUUCUAAAAUAUUUUUUCAUUCCUACUUUUUCAUGGAUAAUAUCCAAGGAAAAAAAACUCGAUGAAAAUACCUUUUGGAAGUGUCCAAACUAAAUAAUCCAAAUCAGAGAAUAUUGAAGAUAUUUGAAAAAGGCCUAGGUUGUAGGAUGUUAAGCUAGAUGAACUUCAAACUUAAAAUCAAUUGUUAAUAAGUAGAGUGGCAUGUCUAUCUUAUAUAUUACUAAAGAUUCAUUCUAACCUCCAAUGUAUGACACUUUGUAUCUAAUGUAGGAGACCUUAGAUAAAGCCCAAGUUUUCUGUGCAUAAAGAUAUUCAAAGGGACUGUUAAUAAUUGAUUCCCUAUCCUCCUUCUCACAUGAUCCACAUUGACAAUUUAUCCGAUACAUUAAAUUUUUGAUAAGACCCAUCAUAUAAGUGUAUCCGGCCAAAUAGCGAGAAGAGAGGCGGUUGGAAAAAGACAAGUCGUCAAAGGCAAAAAAGAGAUAUAGCCGACUUUUUCCUAUAUAGAGAAAAACUCAUUUGAAGGAUGAGACAUUCACAAACACACGGAAUCAGCACAAGAACAUGGUUUGUAUAUGUUUUAUUGUUAUAUUAUAUAUUAAUAUAAUAUAGAUCUAAUUAGCAUUCACCUGUGUUAGUAUAUUGUUGUAUUCAUAUUUAUAUUUUCUUUGGAAAAGAAAUAGUUCUUUUCAUCCAUAAAUUCAAUGUUUUUGAUGAUUUUUCUUUAUUAGUUUAUUUUUUGAUAUUAAUUAUUAAUGAUAUUAGAAAAAUUAGAAAAUUACUUAUUUUAUACUUUGAGAAUUUUUGUAGAUGUAUUGUUACUUUAACUAUUUUAACAGUAAUUUACCAUUUAUUUUAUUUUAAAAUGUACGUUGGAUUAUUAUACCACGAAUAUGUAUUUUUGGUUAAUAUUACUAUUUUGCUUUGGAUUUUCUAGGGUUGGGCAAAUAAACCGAACCCGAAAAUCCGAACCGAAUCCGAUCCGAUAAAAAUGAAUCCGAACCGAUCCGAACCCGACGUAAAUACCGAAUGGGUCUUGUUUUGUGGUAUUUUGGGUUAUGGGUAUUAUCCGAACCGAACCCGAAUCUAAAUGGAUAUCCGAUAGAACCCGAAACAUUCAAAACCUCGAAAAGAUCUUGUACCAAACAUGAUCUCAAUUCCUAAUAUGUAUCCAAAAUACAUUAAGAAAUAUUGAACAUCUAAAAUACUUAUCUAUUACAUGAAAGUUGGUGGUUCUAUUACAUGAAGGUUGAUGGUUAAAGAUGGCCGUUGAAUCUUGAAGUAUUUAGAUUUAAAUUUUGUUUUCGUUAAACAAUAUUUCUCAUUUCAUGAGAAUUUGGUUUUCGUUUUAUGCUUUUAUUUAUUUGGUUUUCUUUUUAUCAGUAAAUAUGUUUACUUUUCGUUUGAUUUUGAAUGAUCACGGUUGAUGUUCCUUAUUUUUGAAUCGAUUUUACUUAAGUUUUGGUUACAAAAUAGGUACAAAUCAGGUAUUUUAAAACUGGAGAACCGAUUUUACUCAUGUUUUGGUUAUAAAAUAGGUAAAAAUCAAGUACUUUUAAACCGAAAAACCGAUUGGGACCCGAACCCGAAAGUAUAUUGGGUUGUACCGGUUCUUUGAAGAUUCACUAACCCCGACCCGAACCCGAUAGAACCCGAACCGGUCCCGAACCGAACUUUCAUAUAAUCCGAAUGGGGCUGAUUUUGAUGAACCCGAAAAACCGAAACCCGAUUGGAUAAAACCGAAACCCGAUUGGGACCCCGAAUGCCCAGGCCUAGGAUUUUCCAUUUUAUUAAAAUAGUUACCAUUUUUAAGUAAGUUGUCAAAUUUUAAUAUUUAUUUUGUUAGUUUAACUUAUAUAUGUAAAAUUAAUUUAGUUCUAUACUAAAAUAUAUAUUUUUGGGAAAUAUAAGUUUCUUCUCCUAUACAUUGUGAUUUUUUUAGAUGUUUUCCUUUUUCUUAAUUUAAAUAUUUUAACACUAAUUUACCAUUUUAUUUUAGUAUAAAAUGUAAUUUGGAUUAUAUACCUAAAAAUAUGUAUUUUGGUUAAUAUUACUAUUCUGCUUUGAUUUUCCAUUUUACUAUAAUAGUUAAGUACGGUGUCAAAUGUUAAUAUUUAUUUUGGUAUUUUAACUUAUAUAUGUAAUAGUAAUUUCGUUUUAUUUUGAAAUAUAUAUUUUGGAAAUAUAAGUCUCUUGUUUUAUACAUUGUGAAUGUUUAUAAAUAUUUUUUGUUACUUUAACUAUUUUAACAUUAAUUUACCAUUUUAUUUUUCUAUAAAAUGUACUUUGGAUUUAUUACACCUAAAAUAUAUAUUUUCCCACCAUUUUACUAUAAUAUUUGCCAUUAUUUUAAGUAAGUUUUCAAAUGUUAAUAUUUAUUUCUUUAGUUUAGCUUAUAUAUUUAAGCUCUAUAUGGUAACCAAAUGAAUGAGUGGGAAUAGUGAAUUCGUUGUCAUUACUUACAAUUUACAGUAUAUACAAAAAAAUAUUUGUUAUUUAUAAUUCUUUAACAUUCAUUUACAUUUAAGGAAUAAUAGAUUAUAUUUAUUUUUAUCAAAUUCGGAGAAGAACGUAAGUAAUAGACAUUUCUCUUUGUUCCUUUUAUUUUAUUAUUCAUAUUCUUUUAAUGGUUACAUGUUGAAGCCUUAAUAGUAAUUAGACUUUGAUCCACACACAUGCGCUGAUGUUUAUUUUCAUUUUCUAAUAAAUAAAUAUUUAUUUGUAUAAGUAAUAAUGUAUAUUUUUAUAAUUUACCUGCAUUAAAUAGUUGUUUAAUAUGAAAAUUUUAAACAUAAUAAUUUAUAGUUUAUAUUAAGUAAUUUUGUUUUGUCUUGUAAACUGUCAAUUGCAUUAUCUUUAUUUUUCAAAUAUGAUCCAUGCAUUCACACAAAUGUAUUUUUAUUUUUUAUGGAACAUUAUUUAACAGCCAGGAAAGAUCUAGAGCCUUUGAGUUUGAGUUCUACUUUUUCUGCUCUGGUUUGGAUAAGAUAUUCGUUAAAAAAAAAUUGACUUUAAAUACUGGGAUCACUUCGAGUGUUUUAUUCUCUUUUCUGGUAUGGAACUAUAGCUUGCGGAGAAUAAGAUGAGCACCAUACUGUGGGUGGAGGGUGAAGACUGUGUAAGGAGCAUGGACAUAGGUAGGAGAAAGCUCGAAGGAGAAUCUCUGUAGAAUUAAUGCCAUUGCCAUCUUUGCCUCCAAUAAAGCAAAAUUUUGGCCAAUGCAGAUCCUUGGUCCCCAAGCAAAGGGAAAGAAGGAGACUUGGCUCUUUGUUGCCUUUGAGACACCAUCUUCGAAUCUCUCGGGCUUGAACUCUGCUGCAUCGUUCCCCCAUAGCUGGGUAUCGCGUUGGACUAGCAUAGUAGGUAGACUGAUGUGAACGCCACCUGGUAGCGUCAGGUCGCCUAGCUUCAUCUCUUUGUGAAU
rnacentral:lncRNA from 1 species